GAUGAAGAACGCAGCGAAAUGCGAUAAGUAAUGUGAAUUGCAGAAUUCAGUGAAUCAUCGAAUCUUUGAACGCACAUUGCGCCCUUUGGUAUUCCGAAGGGCAUGCCUGUUCGAGCGUCAUUAUCAACCCUCAAGCCUGGCUUGUCAUUGAACCUCUGGUCGUUAAAAGACGGGUUCGAAAGAUAAUGACGGUGUCGCGAUCGACCCUAGAUGCAACGAGCUUCACAGCACGCAUGUUAGUGGCCGGCCGGCCCCGGUCUUAACCUUCUUUCAAUGGUUGACCUCGGAUCAGGUAGGAAUACCCGCUGAACUUAAGCAUAUCAAUAAGCGGAGGA
rnacentral:misc_RNA from 1 species